UGGGGAAUAUUGGACAAUGGGGGCAACCCUGAUCCAGCAAUGCCGCGUGAGUGAUGAAGGCCUUCGGGUUGUGAAGCUCUUUUGGCGGGGACGAUGAUGACGGUACCCGCAGAAUAAGCCCCGGCUAACUUCGUGCCAGCAGCCGCGGUAAUACGAAGGGGGCUAGCGUUGUUCGGAAUUACUGGGCGUAAAGGGCGCGUAGGCGGUCCUGAUCGUCGGAUGUGAAAGGCCUGGGCUCAACCUGGGAACUGCAUCCGAUACGGCGGGACUGGAGUGUGGGAGAGGUUGGUGGAAUUCCCAGUGUAGAGGUGAAAUUCGUAGAUAUUGGGAAGAACACCGGUGGCGAAGGCGGCCAACUGGACCACAACUGACGCUGAGGCGCGAAAGCGUGGGGAGCAAACAGGAUUAGAUACCCUGGUAGUCCACGCUGUAAACGAUGCGUGCUAGACGUUGGGCACCCUAGGUGCUCGGUGUCGUCGCUAACGCUUUAAGCACGCCGCCUGGGGAGUACGGCCGCAAGGUUAA
rnacentral:rRNA from 1 species